rnacentral:rRNA from 1 species
UACGUAGGGUGCAAGCGUUGUUCGGAAUUACUGGGCGUAAAGAGCUCGUAGGCGGUUGUCGCGUCGACUGUGAAAACCCGAGGCUUAACCUCGGGCCUGCAGUCGAUACGGGCAGACUAGAGUUCGGUAGGGGAGACUGGAAUUCCUGGUGUAGCGGUGAAAUGCGCAGAUAUCGGGAGGAACACCAAUGGCGAAGGCAGCUCGCUGGGACGGUACUGACGCUGAGGCGCGAAAGCGUGGGAGCAAACAGG